AAAUUGGGAAAUAUAUAUCCCAUAUGCAGGUGAAGUUGGUAUAUUGCUACUAAGGUGGGGGAAAUUUCUAAUUUCAAUAUUAAAAUCGUCUCGUUUGUGAUAGAUUCUGGUACUGAGAUGACUGUGUUAGUCAAAUUCGAGAUAUAAGUCUAAAAAUUAGGCGGAGGAAGCCGUGUCUGUUGUUUCUUUAAUUUCUAGUUCUGGGGGAUAUAUUAAUGGAUCCCAAUCAGAAAAGUUAAGAUUGUUAAUGGAAAGAACACCAUCAAUAUAUCUGAAAGUGAAAUUAAAUAAUCUGGCUUCUUUGAUCCUCUUGUUUUUGACAAGUGUCUGAAGGAACUCCGAUUCAUAUGAAAAUAAGAAGAGGUCGGCAAGAAGAGGCGCACAGUUUGUUUCCAUAGGAAUCCCGACAAUUUGUUGGAAAAGUCUACCUCCAAACUCAACAAAUAUGUUGUCGAUAAGAAACUCCAGCAUACUGACCACUUGUUCUUCUGUGUAGC
rnacentral:lncRNA from 1 species